rnacentral:rRNA from 1 species
AUUGAACGCUGGCGGCAGGCCUAACACAUGCAAGUCGAGCGGAUGAAGGGAGCUUGCUCCUGGAUUCAGCGGCGGACGGGUGAGUAAUGCCUAGGAAUCUGCCUGGUAGUGGGGGAUAACGUCCGGAAACGGGCGCUAAUACCGCAUACGUCCUGAGGGAGAAAGUGGGGGAUCUUCGGACCUCACGCUAUCAGAUGAGCCUAGGUCGGAUUAGCUAGUUGGUGGGGUAAAGGCCUACCAAGGCGACGAUCCGUAACUGGUCUGAGAGGACGAUCAGUCACACUGGAACUGAGACACGGUCCAGACCCCUACGGGAGGCAGCAGUGGGGAAUAUUGGACAAUGGGCGAAAGCCUGAUCCAGCCAUGCCGCGUGUGUGAAGAAGGUCUUCGGAUUGUAAAGCACUUUAAGUUGGGAGGAAGGGCAGUAAGUUAAUACCUUGCUGUUUUGACGUUACCAACAGAAUAAGCACCGGCUAACUUCGUG